AUUGAACGCUGGCGGCAGGCUUAACACAUGCAAGUCGAACGAGUGGCGGACGUGUGAGUUAUGCUUGUGCCUCUUGCUUAUGGAGGGGGUUAACUACGGGAAACUGUAGCUAAUACCGCGUACCAUAGGCUGAGCCCAAGUGGGAUUAGGUAGUUGGUGAGGUAAAGGCUCACCAAGACGACGAUCUCUAGCUGGUCUGAGAGGAUGACCAGCCACACUGGAACUGAGACACGGCCCAGACUCCUACGGGAGGCAGCAGUGGGGAAUAUUGGGCAAUGGGCGAAAGCUGACGCAGCCAUGCCGCGUGAGUGAAGAAGGCCUUCGGGUUGUAAAGUUCUUUCGGUAGCGAGGCGUUAACAACAGAAGAAGCACCGGCUAACUCCGUGCCAGCAGCCGCGGUAAUUC
rnacentral:rRNA from 1 species